CCUACGGGGUGCUGCAGUGGGGAAUAUUGGACAAUGGGGGGAACCCUGAUCCAGCGACGCCGCGUGAGUGAAGAAGUAUUUCGGUAUGUAAAGCUCUAUCAGCAGGGAAGAAAGAAAUGACGGUACCUGACUAAGAAGCCCCGGCUAACUACGUGACAGCAGCCGCGGUAAUACGUAGGGGGCAAGCGUUAUCCGGAUUUACUGGGUGUAAAGGGAGCGUAGACGGCGAUGCAAGUCUGAAGUGAAAGGCGGGGGCCCAACCCCCGGACUGCUUUGGAAACUGUAUGGCUGGAGUGCAGGAGAGGUAAGUGGAAUUCCUAAUGUAGCGGUGAAAUGCGUAGAUAUUAGGAGGAACACCAGUGGCGAAGGCGGCUUACUGGACUGCCACUGACAUUGAUGCUCGAAAGUGUGGGUAUCAAACAGGAUUAGAUACCCGAGUAGUC
rnacentral:rRNA from 1 species